rnacentral:rRNA from 1 species
UACGGAGGAUCCGAGCGUUAUCCGGAUUUAUUGGGUUUAAAGGGUGCGCAGGCGGAAGAUUAAGUCGGUGGUGAAAUUUUGCAGCUCAACUGUAAAAGUGCCAUUGAUACUGGUUUUCUUGAGUGUGGAUGAAGUAGGCGGAAUUUGUGGUGUAGCGGUGAAAUGCAUAGAUAUCACGAGGAACUCCGAUUGCGCAGGCAGCUUACUAACCCAUAACUGACGCUCAGGCACGAAGGCGUGGGGAGUCAAACAGGAUUAGAUA